rnacentral:ncRNA from 2 species
UUAGAUGUUCUGGGCCGCACGCGC